rnacentral:lncRNA from 1 species
CGUUGUUUGUCUCCUUAGGCCCAGUGAGAACUAUGGACAAAGAGGAGAAUUUUCACUUUGUGACACUACUGCCUCACAGAUACAAUCAGGGACACCCAUAACGGCAACGUCGGUAAUUGUAAACUUUCUCUUCAAAGCUCGAGCGGAGGAACGUGUCCUAUAGAUGGAAGCCUCACGUUAUGGUAGCAGUGCUUUGCUUCGUUAUGUUCCAGCUAAAGUAUUCAAUAAACUUCAUCGAAACCAUUAGAAUUUAUGUAUUUUGUUGUUGUUGAUAUGUAAAUGUCAACAGAAAAAUAAUCCCGGAUGAAAAAUGACGCGGUAAUGUAAUAACAAUGGACAUACUUUUUGGCUCUUUCUAUUGAAUAUGACCGGUCUGUUGAUAUACAUUCGAACAUAUAUACACAACAUGGAUAUGUCCCUUAUAUCUAAGCUGUGGUCGGCUCUAUCGUAAUUCAUUCAGAAACGUUUUAAGCCAAUCAAUUCCUCUGUGUUUCGAGUUGUACCUCCGGUAUAGCUGCUAGGCGCUGCAUCAGACGGCUGACUCCCAGCACAAAACGAACUAACUGUGUGUACACGCCCGGACCCGAGUCCAGACUACAUGUUCCUAAGAUUAACAGGCAGAUACGUUAACCACUAAGCUAUCAAGGGAACCACCACUUUCUAACGGGCACUUUUCCUACCUGCCUGCUGCUGGUCCUGUCUUCAUAACCUAAAGUUCGAUUUACCUAUUACAGGGAUAAUUGAAUUUAGCAGAGGUGGGAGCUUUUUAGAAAGUUUUCAGAACUUCUUUAGAUUGGUCGAUAGCUAAACACGUGUCUAUCUCGCGGGCGGCUAAUCGUGACUACAGCCGCUAUGUCGACGCAUCUGAACAUUCUUCGCCGGCAGUGAGAAGUUGAUUGGAUUUUUUGGUAAAGAACCCCACAAGCUUCCUUCUCUUUUUAUUUAUCUGUUACUACCAUCUGCUAUGAAUCUGGCUGCACCGCAAUAAUCAAUAGUUGCAGUCCAAGCGAUACUUCUUACCGGUGACUCCGCUAACAAACUGUCAUGAGUACAAGCGCAUGUGUUUGUAGCAUUAGAUGCAUGUAUAAGCUAUAUGCGUAGAUAACUUAACAGUAUUAUUAUCAGUGAAUUGCGAUGAUAAGGGGAACCAGAUACUGGCUAGAACGAGAGGUACCGACGGCAAAUUAACAGCAAUCAAUGCCGUGCUGUAAAUCAGCGCAUUAGACUCAUCACCGGCAGGUGAUUAUUCCGAUUCGAAUUGCUUCUGCAAGAAGGUUAAUUGGUGGCUUCCUAAGCGGGAACAAUGAGAUCUUGCCUACUAAAUUACAAAGCUUGUCAAGCUGAAUUGUCAAAGGGAAAAAGUAUAUAAGAUAGCGGCAUAUGCUUUGUGGACAUGAAAGAGUAACGGAGAAGUGCACAAUUUGGACAGUAGCGAGCAAACGUAAGCGAGCGAGACGUAAAGAUUGACUAUGAUUUUCGAGAGCGGCGCUUUUCCGAUGACUGCACUCUCCUUCGCAGUCGUUGCAAUCGCAGGCGUUGAUAUCGCUGCAGCCGCAGC